UACAGAGGUCUCAAGCGUUGUUCGGAUUCAUUGGGCGUAAAGGGUGCGUAGGUGGCGCUGUAAGUCGGGUGUGAAAUUUCGGAGCUUAACUCCGAAACUGCAUUCGAUACUGCGGUGCUUGAGGACUGGAGAGGAGACUGGAAUUCAUGGUGUAGCAGUGAAAUGCGUAGAGAUCAGGAGGAACACCGGUGGCGAAGGCGGCGACCUGGACCGGUACUGACGCUGAGACGCGAAAGCGUGGGGAGCAAACAGG
rnacentral:rRNA from 1 species